rnacentral:rRNA from 1 species
UACAGAGGGGGCUAGCGUUGUUCGGAAUUACUGGGCGUAAAGGGCGCGUAGGUGGCCUGUUAAGUCGAACGUGAAAUCCCCGGGCUCAACCCGGGAACUGCGUCCGAGACUGGCAGGCUCGAAUCCGGGAGAGGGAUGUGGAAUUCCAGGUGUAGCGGUGAAAUGCGUAGAUAUCUGGAGGAACACCGGUGGCGAAGGCGGCCACCUGGACGGUAACUGACGCUGAGACGCGAAAGCGUGGGGAGCAAACAGG